rnacentral:rRNA from 1 species
UACAGAGGGUGCGAGCGUUAAUCGGAAUUACUGGGCGUAAAGCGUGCGUAGACGAUUAUUUAAGUCGGGUGUGAAAUCCCCAGGCUUAACCUGGGAACGGCAUCCGAUACUGGAGGGCUUGAAUUCGGGAGAGGGAUGCAGAAUUCCAGGUGUAGCGGUGAAAUGCGUAGAUAUCUGGAGGAAUACCGGUGGCGAAGGCAGCCCCCUGGGAUAACACUGACGCUCAGGCACGAAAGCGUGGGGAGCAAACAGG